rnacentral:rRNA from 1 species
AAUUUUGGACAAUUGUCGCAAGCCUGAUCCAGCCAUGCCGCGUGAGUGAAGAAGGCCUUCGGGUUGUAAAGCUCUGUCGGACGGAAAGAAAUCGCGCAGGCUAAUACCCUGCGCGGCUGACGGUACCGUCAUAAGAAGCACCGGCUAACUACGUGCCAGCAGCCGCUGUAAUACUUAGGGUGCGAGGGUUAAUAGGAAUUACUGGGCGUAAAGCGUGCGCAGGCGGUUGAAUAAGACAGGCGUGAAAUCCCCGGGGUUAACCUGGGAACUGCGGUUGUGACUGGGCAGCUUGAGUACGGCAGAGGGGGGUGGAAUUCCACGUGUAGCAGUGAAAUGCGUAGAGAUGUGGAGGAACACCGAUGGCGAAGGCAGCCCCCUGGGCCGAUACUGACGCUCAUGCACGAAAGCGUGGGUAGCAAACAGG